UUUCCGUUGGUGAACCUGCGGAAGGAUCAUUAUAAAUGAAAAACGAAUAACUUCAGGGAAGAAGGGAACCUGCACGGUGACCUCCCCUGUCGGGCCACCCAAUACCUUCAAAAUGCCGCCGUCCUAGCGGUGGCAGACGAAAAAAAAACAAGAAAAACAAAAUAGAAACAGGCACGGUGGCCCGUUCACCUUCACACAACCCUCCGAGUACCGCUUCCAUGUUGCUUCCCCGCAAAUCCACCUCUUUGGUGAGCGCGGGGGAGGUCCGCAUCAAAUUCACCUGAAUGUCACAGCAGUCAGACAGCCAUUCAUGGAAACAAUAAAACUUUCAACAACGGAUCUCUUGGUUCCC
rnacentral:misc_RNA from 1 species